rnacentral:rRNA from 1 species
AUUGAACGCUGGCGGCAGGCUUAACACAUGCAAGUCGAGCGGGGGAAGGUAGCUUGCUACCGGACCUAGCGGCGGACGGGUGAGUAAUGCUUAGGAAUCUGCCUAUUAGUGGGGGACAACAUCUCGAAAGGGAUGCUAAUACCGCAUACGUCCUACGGGAGAAAGCAGGGGAUCUUCGGACCUUGCGCUAAUAGAUGAGCCUAAGUCGGAUUAGCUAGUUGGUGGGGUAAAGGCCUACCAAGGCGACGAUCUGUAGCGGGUCUGAGAGGAUGAUCCGCCACACUGGGACGGAGACACGGCCCAGACUCCUACGGGAGGCAGCAGUGGGGAAUAUUGGACAAUGGGGGGAACCCUGAUCCAGCCAUGCCGCGUGUGUGAAGAAGGCCUUAUGGUUGUAAAGCACUUUAAGCGAGGAGGAGGCUACUUUAGUUAAUACCUAGAGAUAGUGGACGUUACUCGCAGAAUAAGCACCGGCUAACUCUGUGCCAGCCGCCGCCGUAAGAC